CGGGAAGAGCUCAAAUUUAAAAUCUGGCGUCUUUGGCGUCCGAGUUGUAAUCUGUAGAGGCGUUAACCGCGGCGGACCUCGUACAAGUCCUUUGGGAUGAGGCGUCAUGGAGGGUGAGAAUCCCGUAUAUGACGAGGACUACCGUUGCUUUGUGUUGCGUCUUCGAA
rnacentral:rRNA from 1 species